UCCACGCGUGAUUCAGGUACCUGGAAUUGUCGUGAUGGCACGAAUCCUCUCAAGAAAACUUGUCACGUGACUGCACAUGAGGACCUGGGUGAUGUUGCAUCAAGACUGCACCUUAAUUGUGCACCACUGAAGAAUGAGACGUUCCGUGUUUUGGACGCAUGUACGGGGUUGAGCGCUGAUCCAAGAGUUAACGUGACGUUGAAACUCAUGGAUAGUGAAUGGACAUAUAAUGGGUUGACAGGCGAUGUUGCAGUUCCAGUUCGCGACGCAGCCUAUGAUGUCAAUACAACAUGUUGUGUG